GAUGAACGCUGGCGGCGUGCCUAAUACAUGCAAGUCGAGCGAACGGACGAGAAGCUUGCUUCUCUGAUGUUAGCGGCGGACGGGUGAGUAACACGUGGAUAACCUACCUAUAAGACUGGGAUAACUUCGGGAAACCGGAGCUAAUACCGGAUAAUAUUUUGAACCGCAUGGUUCAAAAGUGAAAGACGGUCUUGCUGUCACUUAUAGAUGGAUCCGCGCUGCAUUAGCUAGUUGGUAAGGUAACGGCUUACCAAGGCAACGAUGCAUAGCCGACCUGAGAGGGUGAUCGGCCACACUGGAACUGAGACACGGUCCAGACUCCUACGGGAGGCAGCAGUAGGGAAUCUUCCGCAAUGGGCGAAAGCCUGACGGAGCAACGCCGCGUGAGUGAUGAAGGUCUUCGGAUCGUAAAACUCUGUUAUUAGGGAAGAACAUAUGUGUAAGUAACUGUGCACAUCUUGACGGUACCUAAUCAGAAAGCCACGGCUAACUACGUGCCAGCAGCCGCGGUAAUACGUAGGUGGCAAGCGUUAUCCGGAAUUAUUGGGCGUAAAGCGCGCGUAGGCGGUUUUUUAAGUCUGAUGUGAAAGCCCACGGCUCAACCGUGGAGGGUCAUUGGAAACUGGAAAACUUGAGUGCAGAAGAGGAAAGUGGAAUUCCAUGUGUAGCGGUGAAAUGCGCAGAGAUGUGGAGGAACACCAGUGGCGAAGGCGACUUUCUGGUCUGUAACUGACGCUGAUGUGCGAAAGCGUGGGGAUCAAACAGG
rnacentral:rRNA from 1 species